rnacentral:rRNA from 1 species
GAUGAACGCUAGCGGCAGGCCUAACACAUGCAAGUCGAGGGAGAAGCCCUUUCGGGGGCAGAAACCGGCGCACGGGUGCGUAGCGCGUAUGCAACCUACCUUUCACAGGGGGAUAGCCCGAAGAAAUUUGGAUUAAUACCCCAUAAUAUUAUUGGAUGGCAUCAUUUGAUAAUUAAAACUGCGGUGGUGAAAGAUGGGCAUGCGUCCUAUUAGCUAGUUGGAGUGGUAACGGCACCCCAAGGCUACGAUAGGUAGGGGUCCUGAGAGGGAGAUCCCCCACACUGGUACUGAGACAGGGACCAGACUCCUACGGGAGGCAGCAGUGAGGAAUAUUGGUCAAUGGUCGGAAGACUGAACCAGCCAUGCCGCGUGCAGGAAGAAUGCCUUAUGGGUUGUAAACUGCUUUUAUAUGGGAAGAAUAAGGUGUACGUGUACAUUGAUGACGGUACCAUAUGAAUAAGCAUCGACUAACUCCGUG